AUGAGUCUGUGAAUGAGUGCAUGGAAGGU
rnacentral:piRNA from 1 species